CAAUCCAUGAGUACAGUGGCGACCGGGUGAGUAACACGUGACUAACCUACCUUCGAGUGGGGGAUAACCUCGGGAAACCGAGGCUAAUACCGCAUAACAUCGAGAGAUCAAAGGAGCAAUUCGCUUGAAGAGGGGGUCGCGGCUGAUUAGCUAGUUGGCGGGGUAAUGGCCCACCAAGGCGAAGAUCGGUAGCCGGCCUGAGAGGGCGCACGGCCACACUGGAACUGAAACACGGUCCAGACUCCUACGGGAGGCAGCAGUGGGGAAUUUUGCGCAAUGGGGGAAACCCUGACGCAGCAACGCCGCGUGGAGGAUGAAGCCCCUUGGGGUGUAAACUCCUUUCGACCAAGACGAUAAUGACGGUACUGGUGGAAGAAGCACCGGCUAACUCUGUGCCAGCAGCCGCGGUAAU
rnacentral:rRNA from 1 species